rnacentral:tRNA from 1 species
GAGAAAGGCUGCCGCAAAAAUAAGCUGCUAACUUAAUUUUUUAGCGGUUAAAAUCCGUUACUAGCUCU